GGUGAACGCUGGCGGCGUGCUUAACACAUGCAAGUCGAACGGGAAACCUUUUAAUGAAGCUUCGGCAGAUUUAGCUGGUUUCUAGUGGCGGACGGGUGAGUAACGCGUGGGUAACCUGCCUUAUACAGGGGGAUAACAGUCAGAAAUGACUGCUAAUACCGCAUAAGCGCACAGGACCGCAUGGUCCGGUGUGAAAAACUCCGGUGGUAUAAGAUGGACCCGCGUUGGAUUAGCUUGUUGGUGGGGUAACGGCUCACCAAGGCGACGAUCCAUAGCCGGCAUGAGAGGGGGAACGGCCACAUUGGGACUGAGACACGGCCCAGACUCCUACGGGAGGCAGCAGUGGGGAAUAUUGCACAAUGGGGGAAACCCUGAUGCAGCGACGCCGCGUGAAGGAAGAAGUAUCUCGGUAUGUAAACUUCUAUCAGCAGGGAAGAUAGUGACGGUACCUGACUAAGAAGCCCCGGCUAACUACGUG
rnacentral:rRNA from 1 species